UUUUUUAUUUAUUUAUUUAUUUAUAUAUGUAUAUAUAUAUAUAUAUAUAUUAAAAAUAGUUAUAAUUUAUUAUUUUAUAGUAUUAAUUAAAGAAAAAAUAAAUUUAAUUAUAGUUUAUUAGUAUUGAAAAAGAAAAUUGAAAUAUUUUGAAAAAUUUAAAUUAAAUAAGAAAAAUUUAUUUUUUGUACCUUGUGUAUCAGGGUUUAUUAAAUAAUAUUUAGUAAUUUAUAAAUUUCUCGAUUUUAAAAGAUUUAAUAUAUUAUAAAAUAUAAAGUAAUAAAUUUAUUUUUAAUAGUAUAUUUGAAAUGAAAUGUUAUUCGUUUUUAAAGGUAUCUAGUUUUUUAAGAAAUAAAUUUAAUUUAUAAAUUUUAUAUUAUUUAUUUAAUUUAAAAAAUAGAUAAUUAUUAAAUUUAAUUAUUUUAUGGGAUAAGCUAUAAAAUAAAAAUUUAAAAAUAGAAUAUAAUUUAAUAAAAUAUAGGGUUAAAAUUAUUCAAUAUUAAAGAAAAUGUAAUAAUUUAUUAUUAAAUUAGAAAAAUUUAAUUGAUUUUAAUUAUUUAUUAAUAUAUAAUUUUAAAUAAUAAUAAAUUAGAAAUAAUGAUAAAAUUAGUAUAAUGAUUUAUAAUAAUAAUAAGAAUUUAUAAAUUUUUUUAAGGAAUUCGGCAAAAUUAUAUAUUCACCUGUUUAACAAAAACAUCUCUUUAUGAUUAAAUAUAAGGUUUAACCUGCCCCCUGAGUAAUUAAAUGGCUGCAGUAUAUUGACUGUACAAAGGUAGCAUAAUCAUUAGUUUUUUAAUUGGAAACUGGAAUGAAUGGUUGGAUGAAAUAUAAACUGUUUCAAAAAAAAUAUAUUAGAAUUUUAUUUUUUAGUAAAAAAGCUAAGAUUUUUUUAAAAGACGAGAAGACCCUAUAAAUCUUUAUAUAAUUUAUUUAUAUAUUUAAUUAUUUAGAAAAUUAUAAAAAUAUAUAAAUAUUAUAUUUUGUUGGGGAGAUGGUAAAAUUUGAUUAACUUUUAUUAAAUUUAUUUCAUUGAUUUAUGAAUAUUUGAUUAAUUUUUAAUGGAUAAAAAAAUAAGUUACUUUAGGGAUAACAGCGUAAUUAUUUUGGAGAGUUCAUAUUGAUAAAAUAGA
rnacentral:rRNA from 1 species